GAUCUGCAUUCUGUUAUUCUACGAAUAUUUAAUCUUCCCUUAUUAAAGAGAUACUUCAGAUGUUUUGAUGUGUGGUUGUAUGAGCUACUUCUCCACAGUCAGUUUGUUAGCUACAGUAGAUGGGGGACGACACACCAGACA